UGAGGAAUAUUGGUCAAUGGGCGAGAGCCUGAACCAGCCAAGUAGCGUGCAGGAUGACGGCCCUAUGGGUUGUAAACUGCUUUUAUAUGGGAAUAAAGUGAGGGACGUGUCCCUUAUUGCAUGUACCAUACGAAUAAGGACCGGCUAAUUCCGUGCCAGCAGCCGCGGUAAUACAGAAGGUCCAGGCGUUAUCCGGAUUUAUUGGGUUUAAAGGGAGCGUAGGCUGUUUGUUAAGCGUGUUGUGAAAUGUAAGAGCUCAACUUUUAGAUUGCAGCGCGAACUGGCAGACUUGAGUGCGCACAACGUAGGCGGAAUUCAUGGUGUAGCGGUGAAAUGCUUAGAUAUCAUGACGAACUCCGAUUGCGAAGGCAGCUUACGGGAGCGCAACUGACGCUAAAGCUCGAAGGUGCGGGUAUCGAACAGG
rnacentral:rRNA from 1 species